rnacentral:rRNA from 1 species
UAUGUAGGGGGCAAGCGUUGUCCGGAAUCAUUGGGCGUAAAGAGCGUGUAGGCGGCCAGAUAAGUCCGCUGUGAAAUCUCGAGGCUCAACUUCGAGCUGUCGGUGGAAACUGUCUGGCUAGAGUCCGGAAGAGGAGAAUGGAAUUCCUGGUGUAGCGGUGAAAUGCGCAGAUAUCAGGAAGAACACCCGUGGCGAAGGCGGUUCUCUGGGACGGUACUGACGCUGAGACGCGAAAGCGUGGGGAGCGAACAGG